GCCAUCUUCCCCUUGUUUUCAGCGCCACCAAAUCAACACUGCAGCCAACCACAAACCUCCCCUGGUCUCCUCCUCAUUGUCCCAUCGAACCAAUCCCCUCCCGAUCCAGAAAACCACCAUCGCCACUGCUCCUCCUCAAUUUCCCAUGCCCAACCAACCGCCGCCACUCUCUCCCUUGUUUUCCUCACCAGCAACAAUAUGAGGCAGCGCUUCCCCUCGUCUCUCUCCACGCCCGUGGCCGAGGAGGAGCGCUCGGCCUCAUCUCAUCGCCCCGGCCUUGUGCAGCUCCUCGUCGCCUCUCUUCUUCCCCGCUGCUCUCUCUCCCUCUCUCUGUAGCAUCUCUGGUGCCUCACUUCUCUCUCUCUCUCACAGGACCAUGCCGGCGACCGGAGCAGCCGCCCUUGCCUCUGAACCCGCGCCCAGUCUUCGUUCUCGUGCCGCUCGUCGCAUGGCCUCUGCUCUUCGCCGGACCUCCUCCUGUUUGGUAUCUACCAGCGCGCCCUUCCUCCUCCUCGUCGUUCAUCACCUGGCUGCCGGAGUCGCAAAAGACCGCCAAGCCCCCCCAUGGUCGCCAGGACCUUCCCCGACCUCGAUCCGCCAAGUCCGCCGGCGGGAACGGCCUUCACCGCUCGGAUCCGUCGAUGCCUCGACCUGCCGCUUCGGAUUCCGAUGACCCCAGUUCGACGUUGCCGCGCCGAGACCCGCUGCCGCCUCGCCGUUGACCUUCAACGUCUCCGUUCUGGCUCUGUCGAGCAGAGGACGAGCAUCGCCUGGGCUGCCUCCCUUGCAAGCAUGUAGGCCAGCCUCGCCCCGGCUCCAGCAGCGCCCUCCGUUCCCUGGGUCGGCCCUUCUCCUCCUCUGCUGUGCCGACCUGGGCCAUGGCCCGUGGUUCCGAUAACGUCGCGUUUGUGAGGAUCCGUUCGACUACGUCUGUUUGUCUUCUUCAUGGACUCGUUCUUCUUCCUUGCGGGAUCUCAGGAAAGAUGACCAUACCCUCGAAAUCACUUCUAUCUUUGCUUGCUAGUUGCUUGCUCUUUUGCUAUGCGUAUGCUGCGAUACCUACCACUUGCUUAUCAUGCCUCCUAUAUUGUUGAACCAAGCCGCUAACCCACCUUGUCCUAG
rnacentral:rRNA from 1 species